rnacentral:rRNA from 1 species
CACCGCCCGUCGCUCCUACCGAUUGAAUGAUCCGGUGAAGUGUUUGGAUCGCGGAAACGUGGGUGGUUCGCCGUCUAAGACAUCGCGUGAAGUCAUCUAAACCAUAUCAUUUAGAGGAAGGAGAAGUCGUAACAAGGUUUCCGCAGGUGAACCUGCAGAAG